rnacentral:rRNA from 1 species
AGAGUUUGAUCCUGGCUCAGGACGAACGCUGGCGGCGUGCUUAACACAUGCAAGUCGAACGAGAUCCAUCUGGUGGCAACACCGGAGAAGAUCUAGUGGCGAACGGGUGAGUAACACGUGAGCAACCUGCCCCGAAGACUGGGAUAACAGCGGGAAACUGCUGCUAAUACCGGAUACCCCCAUCGGACCGCAUGGCCCGAUGAGGAAAUGGAUUCCGCUUCGGGAGGGGCUCGCGGCCUAUCAGCUUGUUGGUGGGGUCACGGCCCACCAAGGCGACGACGGGUAGCUGGUCUGAGAGGACGAUCAGCCACACUGGGACUGAGACACGGCCCAGACUCCUACGGGAGGCAGCAGUGGGGAAUCUUGCGCAAUGGGCGAAAGCCUGACGCAGCAACGCCGCGUGAGGGAUGAAGGCCUUCGGGUUGUAAACCUCUUUCAAGCAGGGACGAUGAUGACGGUACCUGCAGAAGAAGCUCCGGCCAACUACGUGCCAGCAGCCGCGGUAAUACGUAGGGAGCGAGCGUUGUCCGGAUUCAUUGGGCGUAAAGAGCUCGUAGGCGGCUUGAUAAGUCGGAUGUGAAACCUCCAGGCUCAACCUGGAGUCGCCAUCCGAUACUGUCAUGGCUAGAGUCCGGUAGGGGCCCACGGAGCUCCUGGUGUAGCGGUGAAAUGCGCAGAUAUCAGGAAGAACACCGGUGGCGAAGGCGGUGGGCUGGGCCGGCACUGACGCUGAGGAGCGAAAGCGUGGGGAGCGAACAGGAUUAGAUACCCUAGUAGUCC